rnacentral:rRNA from 1 species
AAACCAUUCUCCCUCCUAAGUCCAGGCGAUAGAAAAGGAAAUUUGGAGCAAUAGACAAAGUACCGCAAGGGAAAGCUGAAAAAGAGAUGAAAAAGCCCAGUAAAGCUUAAAAAAGCAGAGAUUGAAGCUCGUACCUUUUGCAUCAUGAUUUAGCUAGCACCCUCAAGCGAAGAGCCCCUAAAGUUUGAAACCCCGAAACUGGGUGAGCUACUCCAAGACAGCCUAUUAUAGGGCAAACCCGUCUCUGUGGCAAAAGAGUGGGAAGAGCUUUGAGUAGAGGUGACAGACCUACCGAACCCAGUUAUAGCUGGUUGCCUGUGAAUUGAAUAGAAGUUCAGCCCCCUAGAUUCUCCAUUCAUGUACUUUAUUAACCUUCUGGAUACAAUGAGAAACAAGGGGCGUUAGUCAAAGGAGGUACAGCUCCUUUGAAACAAGAUACAACUUUCCCGGCAGGAUAAAGAUCAUACUCAAGUAAGGAAAAAUGUUUUAGUGGGCCUAAAAGCAGCCACCUUAACAAAAAGCGUUAAAGCUUAGACAUACAAUUCUCCCUAUAUACCGAUAACCGCAUCUUAUUCCGCCCCACUUAACAGGCCCCCCUAUGCCACCAUAGGGCCGAUUAUGCUAAUAUGAGUAAUAAGAAAGUAUUAUACACUUUCUCCCCGCACGUGUGUAAAUCGGAACGGACCCCCCACCGAAUAUUAACGGCCCCAACUAAAGAGGGUACUGGAAACCACCAUAAAUACAGGCUAGAAAAACAUCCAAAACCAACCCGUUAACCCCACACUGGUGUGCCUAAUAGGAAAGACCAAAAGGAAAAGAAGGAACUCGGCAAACAUACCCCAAGCCUCGCCUGUUUACCAAAAACAUCGCCUCUUGCAUAACACUAGUAUAAGAGGUCCCGCCUGCCCAGUGACUAUUAGUUCAACGGCCGCGGUAUUUUGACCGUGCAAAGGUAGCGUAAUCACUUGUCUUUUAAAUGAAGACCCGUAUGAAUGGCAUAACGAGGGCUUAACUGUCUCCUUUUCCAAGUCAAUGAAAUUGAUCUCCCCGUGCAGAAGCGGGGAUUAACACAUAAGACGAGAAGACCCUAUGGAGCUUUAGACGUAUGGGUAGAUCAUGUUAAACACCCCUUAAUAAAGGCCUAAACUAAAUGAAACCUGCCCCCAUGUCUUUGGUUGGGGCGACCAUGGGGAAUACAAAACCCCCACGUGGAACGGGAGUACACCCCCUAUUUCUUCCUCUCCCACAAGCCAGAGCGACAGCUCUAGCCAGCAGAAUUUUUGACCAAACUGAUCCGGUAAGCCGAUCAACGAACCGAGUUACCCUAGGGAUAACAGCGCAAU